rnacentral:rRNA from 1 species
UACGAAGGGGGCUAGCGUUGUUCGGAAUUACUGGGAGUAAAGGGCGCGUAGGCGGUUUAUCAAGUGAGAUGUGAAAUCCCCGGGCUUAACCUGGGAACUGCAUCUUAAACUGAUGAGCUGGAGUACUGUAGAGGACAGUGGAAUUUCCGGUGUAGUGGUGGAAUGCGUAGAUAUCGGGAGGAACACCAGUGGCGAAGGCGGUUGCCUGGGGCUUUGCUGACGCUGAUGCGCGAAAGCGUGGGGAGCGAUCCGG